ensembl:lncRNA
CGGGCAACAAAGGAGUGGCUCCGUAAGAAGCAUUUGAAAGUCCUGGAGUGGCCUAGCCAGUCUCCAGACCUCAACCCCAUAGAAAAUCUGUGGCGGGAGUUGAAAGUCCGUGUUGCUCGGCGACAGCCCCAAAACAUCACUGCUCUCGAGAAGAUCUGCAUGGAGGAAUGGGCCAAAAAUAUCAGCUACUGUGUGUGCAAACCUGAAAUGGAAUCCGUUUUCAACUUGCAAAAACAAGAUCCAAAAAGGGUAGUAAUUUACGGCGAGACCAAGGAUGGACCUGAUCAGUGAGGUAGAUGGCCUACAGUACUUACCUUCUUCUCUUCUGGGUGCUGCAGUUAUCUACCUUGGAAAUCACAAAUCCUGUUGGAUAGAAGUGACAACUGUGAAAACAUUUGAUAGUUUAGCAUGACAGAUUUUCCAUGGUAUCUCGGGUGGAAUAACGGACUUCUCUGGGGGCAUCAAAAUGAACACAUAAGCUCUGGAUGGACGUUAAAAAGGAGCUGAUUGGUGCCUCUCCAACAUGACGAAUGGACACUUUGGGCUGCAAUCUUUGUUUGUCUCAUGGCUCUUUAGUGAUAAUGUUUGGGAGUUCAUCAAAAGGAAGGUGUUUUGGACUGCACCUCCCUAAGCCUUUAUCCUGUUGACCUGUGGCAGCAGUCAGUCUGACUACAGCAUGCCUCAGUCAUGUUUUCUUUUACACAUUCACAAGUUUCAUUGUAGAUAUGUUAGACGUUAUACAUGCACAUCUGUGUGCAAGCUUGAAUUCAUCAUGAAUGAAAGGAGAACACUCUGCAAAGCAUUCUUUGGGGGGAGGUCUGUGGGGUCCCACUUAACUCUAAGUUAAAUGGGAGCUUAUAGGUGAGGCCCCAUCCAGGAAGGGAGUCUUGUCUUAAAUCAGUAAGGGAAAAUUUAAUUGCCCACAUUUUCUUUUUGUGUCGUUUUGUCUUACCUAACAUGAGUGUUAUCUGCACUACAGUUUGACCCCAGAGCACAGGUACAAAAGUGCCCAGUUUGAAGGAAAGCCACCCCCUUUGUUUCACUGUUUAUUAGGUGUGCUAAAGAGUCAAAAAUAAGGUCUCCGUUAAAUUCAUCCUGAAGCUUUUCAUACAUUUCAGAUUAUUAGAAGGUUGUCACCGGCUGUUCUUAAACUGAGGUUCAUUAUACGUUCUAUUAAAUGAACUCUGAGUUGGGGAAUAAGCUUGGUGACAAACUGUUAGGUAAAAUAAAAGGAGGAGGAAAAAAGAGACAUUGCUUCCACAAAAGUGUUCUGCAUUUUGUGCUUUUUGUUCAGCAGUAAGGCUCAGGAUGUCAAUACAGAUUAUUUUGCCUGUAUUUGUGUUCAGUUCCUCUUGUUCUACAUUUUUACAAUGUACUUUCUUGUUUUGUUUUUUCUUUUGACUCAGAAUUUGGUCUUUACUUUUCUGCCUUGUACGGCAUCGUUUUUCUUGCAUGUUUACUGGUGGAAACGCACGAGUUGGAGGUCACUGUUCAUCGGCAUACAAAGAUAACAGUAACAGAACAAUUGCAAUACUAAUCUUAGUUCCCUAAGUAGACACUUUUUCAAACUGUUCAAAUGUGAAGAUUAGUUAAAUGCUAUUAUGUUUUACUGUGGAUAACCUAUUACGUUUGCAAACCAGUGUGCAAUAACACCGUGUGAUCCAUACAUGCGUGUUGGGAGGGGUUGUGAGGGUUAUGUAGAGCUACAACGUCAUCAGCCAAGAUGCUAGCGUGGCCUGCAGUGCAGUUCAGAAUGUUUAAGGGUGUUCAGUUUGUUGCACGACUUCUAAAUUCAAUGGUGGGAUAUGUGUAUAUUUUUUAAAAUUAUUCUAAAGGCUCAUGUUGUAAGAUCCAAGUCUAGGCAGCCCAAAUCUGCUAGCUGACCAGCUGUGAUGUCAAUUUUUUAUUUUUUUUCCUUCACCAUCAGCAAAUCAAGAUCGGUUUACUCAACAAAGCAACUGUCCAGGUUUUUCUCUAGAAGCUCUGAUUUGGCUAAUGUGUGGAUUAUUAGCACUUUAUGUAAACUAAUUGCUUUUAUCUUAUGAUUAAUAGACAAAAUCUGUGUGUAGUGACGAGAAAUCCUCCUUGAAAGAAUGGCUCUGGGCUGUUACUUUUCAGAAAAAAAGCCGCUAAAUAUACAGAAUUAUUAAAUAUAACUCAGGUAGUGUUGAUAAAGCCAUGACUGUGUUUAAUAUUGUUUCUUGCCAAACGGCCCCCGUCACGUAAACGUUCUCAUUGGAAAGGUUGACUUUAAGUCUGAUUUAUAUAAAGUAUCGUAUGUUGUGACAACACACCAAAAAGUUAAUACUUUGAGAAAAAAGUUGUCAUGGCGUGGGAGGUGCUGUCAUUAAUCGUUUUGGGCUCUAAAAUUGUUGUUUCUUUUCCUUUUAAGCACAGUGCUGCACAGGCUCUUUUCCAUGUAUCCUGGACUGUAACCUUGUAAUCUCUGCCGGUUCAUUUUCUCCCUUAUGUGUUCAUAGUGAAGCACCUCUUUGAUUUAUUAAUGCUGAACAUCAGCAGUGUUUCUACGGGGGUACACAUGAGUUUUCAAGUACACUUCUUUCCACUGUGUCCUGAUUAGGCAGCGGCACAGCUCGCGCUCAUGCACGGAGAGGGGACGUCAUAACUGCCGCCAUGUUUUUGUACAAGUUGUCUUGACAUUUAACUUCCACAUCUAAUCGCAGUCGGCUCUCUGGUAUUUAAAAAGCUUUGUUUUGGCUUUCAUUGUACGCCAUUUGAUGGAUGAGUGUAUCAGCAGACGCUGACCUCUGAACGAGAACGCUCGUGUCAGACGUGGUCAAUGAGGAAGCAGGGGUAAUUGAGGAGGUAUAAGCGCUUAUUUUUAUGUUGUUCUGUGCUUGUGGAAAAUUGACACUUAAUCUGGCAUCAAUUUACAACAAACACCGCAGUUUAAUUUCUUGCAAUGGCCCAUAAUCUGUUUGCGGGGGGCAGGGGACACAAUCAGGUUACCAUAUGGUUAAUGUUCAGGCUGAAAGGAUUAUCAGUGCACAGCUAUAGGCUUGUAAAUGUAAAGCAGGGUGAUCAGAAUAACUAGUACGUGAUCUUACUGUAGUAUUAUGAUGAAAACACUAUUUUCUCAUGUGUGGGUUUGUUUUGUUUCUUUGGGGGGGGUUGUUUUUGUUUUUUCUGUCUCUUUCAUUUUUAAUGCUAGAGUGGUCCUGGUAGAGGGAAAUCAGAGAUUCUCCUUUGCUCCCACCCUGAUGCCCCUCUUUUUCAAGCACUUAAUACAGCAACAAGGCUAUAGAAUAUGCAUAUAUUGAGAGAGAAAUAAUUAUUCAGCAUUGUAGCCUGCAAACCAAAAACAGGUUCUUGAAGCAGAGUAGGUGGUUAAUCAGUGGUUUGUUUUUUGGGUGGUGGUGGGAGUGAGUGACUGUUGGUGUGGUGAGAAAGAAAAGCCUGAUCAUGUGGAGUUUAUAUUUCCACCCCCUCAGGAUGUGCAAUCACCUCAAGGAUGCUUCCAGGUUGUGAGUGGCAAGUUUGUUUGUUUGGUGCGCGCAUAGCGAGUUCUUCCUAUUAUAUGCAAGUUCCUCGUAUAUUUCAAAAAAGUCCCUCGUUUCAUGUUCAGGUGCCUGUGUUAUAAAGAAAAACUUUUACAGCAAUUUUGAUUGUUUCAAAUCUGCUUCCAGCGUAUAUCUGUGCCAUUUUCUUUAUUUCUUUUGUUUUGUUUUUUGGAACAUUUGCAACGCUGUUCAAGUAUUCUUUGGCUGUUCCUAAUUGUUCUUCUUUUAAACGAUGUGGAUGCCACUGAAGGCAAGGAGCAUUUCAGGCGUCCUGUAGGUUGUGUUCACAGGUGCGACCUAAAGCCAAAUCACACGGGCACGGGAAGACAGAUCUCUGCUCGCUGGUGUAUACUCCAGUCCGUUGUCGAGUUAAUGUCUGAACGUAGCACAUAAUUAAUUUGAAAUUAUUUAACAAGUUUAAUCUUUUAAUGUGUUUAAAAAAUAAAAAUAAAAAAAAGUUUUAUUUUUGAGUUAUAAUUUAUCCAUAGAUGCACAAAUAGGAUGUGAC